GGACCUUUCGGGGUCUAGUGGCGGACGGGUGAGUAACGCGUGAGAACAUGCCCUUAGGUUCGGGACAACAGUUGGAAACGGCUGCUAAUACCGAAUGUGCCGAGAGGUGAAAGAUUAAUUGCCUAAGGAUUGGCUCGCGUCAGAUUAGCUAGUUGGUGGAGUAACGGUUUACCAAGGCGACGAUCUGUAUUUGGUCUGAGAGGAUGACCAGACACACUGGGACUGAGACACGGCCCAGACUCCUACGGGAGGCAGCAGUGGGGAAUUUUCCGCAAUGGGCGAAAGCCUGACGGAGCAAUACCGCGUGAGGGAGGACGGCUUUUGGGUUGUAAACCUCUUUUAUCAGGGAAGAAACAAAUGACGGUACCUGAUGAAUCAGCAUCGGCUAACUCCGUGCCAGCAGCCGCGGUAAUACGGAGGAUGCAAGCGUUAUCCGGAAUUAUUGGGCGUAAAGCGUCCGUAGGUGGUUUUUCAAGUCUGCUGUCAAAGCGUGGAGCUUAACUCCAUAUCGGCAGUGGAAACUGGGAGACUAGAGUGCGAUAGGGGUAACGGGAAUUCCCAGUGUAGCGGUGAAAUGCGUAGAGAUUGGGAAGAACACCAGCGGCGAAAGCGCGUUACUGGGUCUGCACUGACACUGAGGGACGAAAGCUAGGGGAGCGAAAGGGAUUAGAUACCCCUGUAGUCCUAGCCGUAAACGA
rnacentral:rRNA from 1 species